rnacentral:rRNA from 1 species
AUGCACGCUGGCGGCGUGCCUCAUCCCUGCCAGUCGAGCGAACGGACGAGAAGCUUGCUUCUCUGAUGUUAGCGGCGGACGGGUGAGUAACACGUGGAUAACCUACCUAUAAGACUGGGAUAACUUCGGGAAACCGGAGCUAAUCCCGGAUAAUAUUUUGAACCGCAUGGUUCAAAAGUGAAAGACGGUCUUGCUGUCACUUAUAGAUGGAUCCGCGCUGCAUUAGCUAGUUGGUAAGGUAACGGCUUACCAAGGCAACGAUGCAUAGCCGACCUGAGAGGGUGAUCGGCCACACUGGAACUGAGACACGGUCCAGACUCCUACGGGAGGCAGCAGUAGGGAAUCUUCCGCAAUGGGCGAAAGCCUGACGGAGCAACGCCGCGUGAGUGAUGAAGGUCUUCGGAUCGUAAAACUCUGUUAUUAGGGAAGAACAUAUGUGUAAGUAACUGUGCACAUCUUGACGGUACCUAAUCAGAAAGCCACGGCUAACUACGUG